UACGUAGGGUGCGAGCGUUAAUCGGAAUUACUGGGCGUAAAGCGUGCGCAGGUGGUUUUGUAAGCCAGAUGUGAAAUCCCCGGGCUCAACCUGGGAAUGGCAUUUGGGACUGCAAGGCUAGAGUGUGGCAGAGCGGGGUGGAAUUCCGCGUGUAGCAGUGAAAUGCGUAGAGAUGCGGAGGAACACCGAUGGCGAAGGCAGCCCCCUGGGUUGACACUGACACUCAUGCACGAAAGCGUGGGGAGCAAACAGG
rnacentral:rRNA from 1 species